UCUUGUGUGUGUGUGUUUUAGCUCACUGAAGAUGUAGUGAAUCGGAUGAAAGAAUCUCAAAGUAAAAGGGACAACCAGAAGUCACCCCACUUAUCCAGUGGUACAGCUCCAUUUUCAACAGCUGCAGAAGGGAAACCCAAAUCUCCUACAGGAAUCCAGCCACCAACAGCAAGUAACACUGGUCAGAAGGCUACAGUUGCAGAGCAGGAAUUAUACAGGAGGUAUGAGCAGGAGCAGGCCCUGGUUCAAGAGGAGCUGCUCCGGCUGGCCAAAAGAGAAAGGGAAGCAGCUGGUGAGAUGCUGGGUACUGCCCUUCAGCGGGAAAGGAACAGCACCAAUGAAGAGAGGAAGAGAGCAGCUCAGCUGCCUGAGGAUUUGGACGCCUGGGCUGUGGAGCUGCAAGGCAGGGAGGCAGAGCUGAAGCGACAAGAGGCCUUCUAUAAGGAGCAGUUGGCGCGCAUUGAGAGGAAGAAUGCAGAAAUCUACAAGCUGACGUCGGAGCAGUACCAGGAGGCAGCCACCAAGGCAGAGGAAUGGAUAAAGAGGAGGAACAUUGAUCCUGUCUGUGCAGGUCUGCAGUCUGAAAUUCUGAAGUGCUAUCAAGAAAACCAACGUGAAGUGCUCAAAUGCUCGGAGCUGGCUAAGGAGUAUCAGCGCUGUGUUAGUGCUGCUCAGAAGGCCCUCUUGCUGGAGCAGGUUGCUGUAGCGCAUGAUAGAGGUGUAAUUGCUGUUACCUCUUUUGUAUGUUUUCUGCUCGUCAGGGGACAGAAAUAGGCACUACAGGAGCAUGGUGCAUCACAUCCUAGAACAGUCCUCUAAAGGAGGAGCUUUUAGUUAACUCUGGAUAAACAUCAGCCACCAAAGAGCAGAGGACAGGGACCACAGAUGCUCCCUGGAAGGCCCAGCAUCCUUCUGGAUAGACGCUGACUAAAACUGGUGCCUUCUGCCCUUCGUGGUCCAAGACAAUGAUGAUUCCUCUUUUAAUGGCCUGCAUGUAUUGGUCUGUGUGGAUGCUUCUGGAACCAGACAGAGGGUGGUAGGAGAGGGGAACACUGUUACUUCAUUUUUGUAUUGUAAUAGAAUAGAAUGUAAAGAAUGGUCUUGACUCCAGCACGACUUGUUGCUUGGAGGCAUACUCCACACAGGCCUGGUUUACCCUGUGCUAGCUUUGGUUUCACCAACCCCUGUCUGAGUUUCAAGAGUUGUUAUUUUUGUCCAUUUGCUCCAGAAUUAAGGGACUAAAGUACUUAGAAAUAACCCUGACUAGCUUGUUGGGAUUAGCUGUUCCUAGCAUGCUCUGAUUGGCUACACCAGCAGGCAUGUUUCUUCCCUUCUGAGGUUCUCUCCUAAGUAAUAAAGUGUUUAAUGUUCA